UACGUAGGGGGCGAGCGUUGUCCGGAUUUAUUGGGCGUAAAGAGCUCGUAGGCGGUUUGGCAAGUCGGGUGUGAAAACUCCGGGCUCAACUCGGAGACGCCACUCGAUACUGCUAUGACUCAAGUCCGGUAGGGGAGUGCGGAAUUCCUGGUGUAGCGGUGAAAUGCGCAGAUAUCAGGAGGAACACCGGUGGCGAAGGCGGCACUCUGGGCCGGUACUGACGCUGAGGAGCGAAAGCGUGGGGAGCGAACAGG
rnacentral:rRNA from 1 species